CGGCAGGCUUAACACAUGCAAGUCGAGGGGCAGCACGGGUAGCAAUACCUGGUGGCGACCGGCGCAAGGGUGCGUAACGCGUGAGCAACAUGCCCUAUACAGGGGGAUAAUCCAGGGAAACUUGGUCUAAUAUCCCAUAGUAUUUAGAGGAGGCAUCUUCUAUAAAUUAAAGCUUCGGUGGUAUAGGAUUGGCUCGCGUGACAUUAGCUAGAUGGUGAGGUAACGGCUCACCAUGGCAAUGAUGUCUAGGGGUUCUGAGAGGAAGGCCCCCCACACUGGGACUGAGACACGGCCCAGACUCCUACGGGAGGCAGCAGUGAGGAAUAUUGGACAAUGGAUGGAAAUCUGAUCCAGCCAUGCCGCGUGCAGGAAGACAGCCCUAUGGGUUGUAAACUGCUUUUAUAUGGGAGCAAUAAGGUCUACGUGUAGACUGAUGAGAGUACCAUAUGAAUAAGCAUCGGCUAACUCCGUG
rnacentral:rRNA from 1 species